GACACGACUCUCGGCAAUGGAUAUCUCGGCUCUUGCAUCGAUGAAGAGCGCAGCGAAAUGCGAUACGUGGUGCGAAUUGCAGAAUCCCGCGAACCAUCGAGUCUUUGAACGCAAGUUGCGCCCGAGGCCAACCGGCUGAGGGCACGUCUGCCUGGGCGUCAAGC
rnacentral:rRNA from 7 species